rnacentral:rRNA from 1 species
AAAAGGAAUUGACGGGGACCCGCACAAGCGGUGGAUGAUGUGGAUUAAUUCGAUGCAACGCGAAGAACCUUACCUACCCUUGACAUGUCCGGAACUUGCCAGAGAUGGCUUGGUGCCCGAAAGGGAAUCGGAACACAGGUGCUGCAUGGCUGUCGUCAGCUCGUGUCGUGAGAUGUUGGGUUAAGUCCCGCAACGAGCGCAACCCUUAUCAUUAGUUGCUACGCAAGGGCACUCUAAUGAGACUGCCGGUGACAAACCGGAGGAAGGUGGGGAUGACGUCAAGUCCUCAUGGCCCUUAUGGGUAGGGCUUCACACGUCAUACAAUGGUUGGUACAACGAGUUGCGAGUCGGUGACGGCGAGCUAAUCUCUUAAAGCCAAUCUCAGUUCGGAUUGUAGGCUGCAACUCGCCUACAUGAAGUCGGAAUCGCUAGUAAUCGCGGAUCAGCACGCCGCGGUGAAUACGUUCCCGGGCCUU